rnacentral:lncRNA from 1 species
CAAGUAAAAUUCACCAAACUUCAGCCCUUGGAUGCAAGAAUUGAUAUUUUGGAACAAGUGUAUGAAACUCCUAAGGAAAAUUGAAGUGAAAUAGAAAUUUUGGAUUUUUUUUUUUGGUAUAAUAUAUGUAUUUUUUUUCGUUUUUUUUUAGUUUAUAUGAAGUAACAACAAUGGAAAACAAAAAGAUAUUGGAACUUUGCAGAUUUUUUUUUUUUUUUGCAACUAUUUUUGUAGGACAAUGAGGAUGAAUAUAAGAGAUAUAUGAAAGGAUGAAGAAAAUAAAAGAUAGAGUUUGGAUCAAUACCAGAUUGCUCUGAUAACCAAAUGAUAUGGAUAGAAGUGGACGAAGGACCCGUUGGAUAUAACGACCCAAGAACCCGACGUAUGUGAAUAGGCAGCGACUCCUAGAUCGAGAAUCUAGUUUGAUCAACCCCCAAAGAGCGUAGAAACCUCGACCCGUUGGCUAUAUAAUCAGCCAAGAACCUCGGUAUGGAUGAACGCCACAAGACCUUGCUCAAGUGUCUUGAUAAGUUCUAAAACAAGUGAAAAAACUCAACAAAGAGAAUUCAACUCACUAAGCAUAAGCAAUUUUCGUUUUUAUCAAUGGUGUCUCUAAUACAAGUGAUUACAUGCCUAUUUACAGGCUCAAAAAGGUCUCUUGAGAGCCCCACUCCCUUACCACUACUUAAAACCAUUAAAAAAGCACAUAAAAUCACAAAUGUAACUCCAAAACACUUGGUAUGUCUCUUGGACACCAAAAGUCACUUAUUAAACAUAAAAAAAAGUAACUUAAAAUGAGCAUUUUGUGGGCUGCACCCAUUUGGACGAAAAUGUGGAGUUUAUUCUUUAAUUUGGGCCUCCAAAAUAUGAUAGCUUAAUGAGCCCAAACUUCAAGUAGCAUCAAGCCCACCAACUUGAAUAAUAUUCACCAUUUGGCCCAAUGUAGAAUUGUCUUGGACUUGGGCUUUAAUUUCACCAACUAAAAGCAUCAUGGACUCCUUUAUUCUUUUGGCUCUAGCUCUUGUGAUUGGCCCACUUUGAAUAAUCAAAGGAUCCAUCUUGUCCUUGGCCAGCUUGGACGCGUCUCCAUCAAACAUCAAGGUAUGGACGAUGCUAUUAGCAUCAUGCUGAAUCUCAAGAAAGUGUUCGGAGAGUCGGAUGGAGCUGCUCAUUUAAAUUUGAUGAGAGUAAUCUUGUUAUUUUUAUAAGUGAGCACAGCUCAGUGCACGAGCAUGUAAUGCAAAUUUUGACGGACUUGACUUGCUCAGUGGGAGUAUCGAUGGUGAGGCAAAAGUCGAUAUUAUCCUGAACUUUCUUCCCAAGUAUUUUAAUUAAGAACUUCCGCCUCGACGCUGUUAUGAGCAAGAAAGAUAAUACUCUUUUUAAGUUGUUGAAUGCUCUAGUUACAGCUAAGGAAGUUGUGGGAAAAAGAUGUGCAAACACUUGUUAUUGCCAAAGGAUGGCCAUCUUCUUCGUCAAAAGACGGGAAGAAGAAGGUGAUAUGGAUAGAAGUGGACGAAGGACCCGUUGGAUAUAAUGACCCAAGAACCCGACGUAUGUGAGUAGGCAGCGGACUCCCUAGAUCGAGAAUCUAGUUUGAUCAACCCCUAAGAGCGUAGAAACCUCGACCCGUUGGCUAUAUAAUCAGCCAAGAACCUCGGUAUGGAUGAACGCCACAAGACCUUGCUCAAGUGUCUUGAUAAGUUCUAAAACAAGUGAAAAACUCAACAAAGAGAAUUCAACUCACUAAGCAUAAGCAAUUUUCGUUUAUAUCAAUGGUGUCUCUAAUACAAGUGAUUACAUGCCUAUUUAUAGGCUCAAAAAGGUCUCUUGAGAGCCCCACUCCCUUACCACUACUUAAAACCAUUAAAAAGGCACAUAAAAUCACAAAUGUAACUCCAAAACACUUGGUAUGUCUCUUGGACACCAAAAGUCACUUAUUAAACAUAAAAAAACUAACUUAAAAUGAGCAUUUUGUGGGCUGCACCCAUUUGGACGAAAAUGUGGAGUUUAUUCUUUAAUUUGGGCCUCCAAAAUAUGAUAGCUUAAUGAGCCCAAACUUCAAGUAGCAUCAAGCCCACCAACUUGAAUAAUAUUCACCAUUUGGCCCAAUGUAGAAUUGUCUUGGACUUGGGCUUUAAUUUCACCAACUAAAAGCAUCAUGGACUCCUUUAUUCUUUUGGCUCUAGCUCUUGUGAUUGGCCCACUUUGAAUAAUCAAAGGAUCCAUCUUGUCCUUGGCCAGCUUGGAUGCGUCUCCAUCAUUCCCUUCUUCUUCAAGUGGAUUCGUCCUCGAAUCUAAUUCACCAAAAUAAGGAGACAAAUCAGCAACAUUGAAAGUAGCACUUACAUUAUACUCACCUGGAAGGUCUAGUUUGUAAGCGUUAUCAUUCACUCUUGCAACCACUUGGAAUGGUCCAUCUCCUCUUGGCUGCAACUUAGAUUUUCUUUUUGAAGGAAAUCUCUCCUUUCUCAAAUGUAGCCACACCCAAUCUCCCGGCUCAAAUAUGACUUGCUUUCGGCCCUUGUUGGCUUGCUUGAUGUAUUGCUCCGUUCUUUUCUCAAUAUUGAGUCUCACCUUUUCAUGCAACUUUUUCACCAUUUCAGCUUUGGCUUUCCCGUCAAGACUUGCACGCUCCUCAAUUGGUAUUGGAAUUAGAUCAAGUGGACUCAAUGGAUUAAAACCAUAAACAACUUCAAACGGAGAAAAGUUAGUAGCAGAAUGAACACUUCGAUUGUAAGCAAAUUCAGCAAAAGAUAAGCAAUCUUCCCAAGUUUUCAAGUUCUUUUGAAUCAAAAUUCUAAGUAAUUGAGACAAAGUUCUAUUAACUACUUCAGUUUGACCAUCAGUUUGAGGAUGACAUGUAGUUGAAACAGAAGCUUAGUUCCCAAUUUAUUCCAAAGCACACGCCAAAAAUGACUCACAAACUUAGCAUCACGAUCACUCACAAUUGUUCUUGGAACUCCAUGCAAACGAACAAUUUCUUUGAAAAACAAAUCAGCAAUGUGAGUUGCAUCAUCACUCUUAUGACAUGGAAUGAAGUGUGCCAUUUUUGAAAAUCUAUCAACAACCACAAAAAUUGAAUCCUUACCCCUUCGUGUUCUAGGCAAACCCAAAACAAAGUCCAUGGAAAUAUCCUCCCAAGGUGCACUAGGAAUAGGUAAUGGUUUAUACAAACCAUGUGGAUGUGAUUUUGAUUUAGCUUGCAUGCAAGUUAUGCAUCUUCCACAAAUUUUCUCAACAUCAACACGCAUUUUAGGCCAAAAGAAAUGUUCAUGCAAAACUUCCAAAGUCUUAUGAACACCAAAAUGUCCCAUUAACCCACCCCCAUGAGCUUCACGAACAAGCAAUUCACGCAUGGAACACUUCAAAUUUAUUUUCUCUAAAUAAAUAGUCCUCAUGCUUAUAGAACUUAUCAAAUGCAGCAUGCUCACAAGCUAAAUAUAUAGAACCAAAAUCAGAAUCAUGGGCAUACAAUUCCUUAAUUGACUCAAAACCAAGAAGCUUAGAACUCAAAGUAGUGAUCAAAGCAUACCUUCGAGACAACGCAUCAGCCACAAUGUUUUCCUUCCCUUUUUUGUAAUUGAUCACAUAUGGAAAAGAUUCAAUGAAUUCCACCCACUUAACAUGUCUCUUGCUAAGCUUACCUUGACCCUUGAGGUAUUUGAGAGAUUCAUGAUCCGUGUGAAUUACAAACUCUCUUGGCCACAAGUAAUGCUGCCAUGUUUCCAAAGCUCUUACCAAAGCAUAUAACUCUUUGUCGUAGGUUGGAUAGUUCAAUUGAGCUCCUUUCAACUUUUCGCUAAAAUAAGCAAUUGGCUUUCCAUCCUGCAACAAAACAGCACCUACUCCUACUCCAGAAGCAUCACAUUCAAGCUCAAACAUUCUAUCAAAGUUAGGUAAUGCAAGAAUAGGAGCAGAAGUUAGUUUUUCUUUAAGGAGAUUAAAAGCAUGUUCUUGUUUUUCCCCCCAAUGAAAACCAACAUCUUUUUUCACAUCUCAUUCAAGGUGCAGCAAUCGUGCUAAAAUCCUUAACAAACUUCUAUAGAAACUAGCAGACCAUGAAAACUUCUAACUUGUGCCACAUUUUGAGGAAUUGGCAUUCUAAGAUAGCUUUCACUUUUCUUUUUCCAUUUCAAUUCCAUUAGCACUCACAACAAAACCAAGAAAAAAACUUUAUCCAUGCAAAAAGAACAUUUUUAGAUUAGCAUACAAUAUUCUUUUCUUAAAGUGUCUAAAACAGCACGCAAAUAUCAAGAUGUUCUUCAACAUUUUUGCAUAGAUCAAGAUGUCAUCAAAGUAAACAACACAAAUUUUCCAAUGAAUUUCUCAAAACAUGAUGCAUCAUCUCAUGAAAGUACUAGGUGCAUAGUUAACAAAAGGCAUGACUAACCACUCAUACAACCAUACUUUGUUUUGAAAGCAGUUUUCCAUUCAUCUCCUUCUCGAAUUCGAAUUUGGUGAUAACCACUUUUCAAAUCAAUUUUACUAACACAAUUGCCCAUUAACUCAUCAAGCAUAUCAUCUAGCCUAGGAAUAGGAUAGCGAACUUUACCGUGAUCUUGUUAAUUGCUGACAAUCCGUGCACAUUCUCCACGUCCAUCUUUCUUGGACACAACAAUCACCGGUACAGCACAUGGACUCAUGCUCUCACGAAUCUUUCUUUCUCCAACAACUCUUGGACUUGCCUUUGAUCUCUAGUCUCUUCGGAUUGGCUCAUAAGCUGGUCGGUUUGGUAGAACAGCCCGGGAACAAAGUCAAUUUGAUGCUCAAUACCUCUUAAAGGAGGUAAUCCACUUGGUCUUCCUCGGGAAAGACGUCCUCAAACUCCUGCAAAAGAGACACAAAAGUACUAGGCAAAGAGGGUUAGUUCGUUAGGUAAAGAAUGACUCUUUGUACACCAAAAUGAACACACUCUUUUCUUCGACUAUUGCACUCUUUAUUUCUUUUGUCUCACAUAAAAAUUUUUUUUCUUUUCCCUCCUCUUCUUUUCUCUCGACUCUUUUUUUCACUCGACUCUUUUUUACUACCUACUUUUAUUGCCCUCAACCUCACGAGCUCUCCUUGCUUGAGAAAUUUCUGCUGGUCCUCUUGAACUUGUUGAGGUGUCAAAGAAACAAGCAUGAUGGAUUUGUUGUUGUGUUGAAGGUGUAGUGAUUGCGGAAUCCAUCAUAGGUCACCCUUCGAUCAAACUGCAUGGCCUCCCCAAAAGAAUGUGACUAGCAUGCAUUGGCACCACAUCACAAAGAACUUCAUCUUUAUAAUUGCCAAUAGAAAAUGAAAUUAGAACUUGUUUGGUCACACGAAUUUCACCACAUUCAUUAAGCCAUUGUAGCUUAUAUGGAUGAGGAUGCCGUUCAGUUUUUAAGUUCAGUUUCUCCACCAUCUCGCCACUUGCAACAUUGGUACAACUACCACCAUCAAUAAUUAACAUGCAAACUUUACCUUGGACUAAACAUCUUGUGUGGAAGAUGUUCUCCCUUUGUUCUUCCUCCUGUUUGAUUUGCACGUUUAGAGCCCUUCGAACCACCAAAAGCUCACCAUGUUCCGGUACAAUCUCCUCCAAUUGUUCAUCAUCUUCAUCAUCAUCAUCAUGUUCACUUUCAGAUUCGAUUUCUCCAUUCGGCUUCAAGACCAUCACCCUUUUGUUUGGACAUUGAGAUGCAAUAUGUCCAACACCUUGACAUCGAAAACAUUUGAUAUCUCUAUUUCUAGUAGAAGAUGUAGAAUUAGAGAUACCUUUGCCCUUUUCGCCUUCGUUGGACUUGAAUUUGGACACAUCAUUUUGAGGUUUAGAGGCUGCCCCAAAAUUUGACUUAGACGAAGUCCACUCCUUCGACUUUGAAGAUUGAGAACUUGUUGGAAAAUUCCUUUGAAAGGUUCCCUUCUUCUUCAAUUGCCUCUCCACUUUCAUGGCCAUGUGAACCAUAUCCUCCAGCUCCACAUAGUGUUGUAGGUCCACGAUGUUUGCAAUCUCCUUAUUCAGCCCACAUAGGAAUCGAGCCAUGGUUGCCUCUCUAUCCUCAUCAACAUUUGCCCUAAUCAUGGCAAUCUCCAUCUCUUUGUAGUACUCAUCAACAGAUUUAGUACCUUGAUUCAUAGAUUGUAAUUUUUGAUACAAUUCACGAAAAUAAUGAGAAGGUACAAAUCUCUUACGCAUUAUGCUUUUCAUUUCCUCCCACGUGGAAAUUGGUCUCUCUCGAUAGCGCCUUCUAUUUGUUGUCAAUUGAUCCCACCAAACUAUUGCAUAAUCAGUGAAUUCAAUUGCAGCAAGUCUAACCUUCUUUUCCUCGGAGUAGUUGUGACACUCAAAGAUGAGCUCCACCUUUCUCUCCCACUCCAAAUAGGCUUCAGGAUCACUCCUUCCUUGGAAUGUUGGGAUCUUCAAUUUGAUGCUUCCCAAGUCACCAUCAACUUCAUUUUGAUGUCUUCUUCUUCUACCUCCUCCUCGCCUUUCAUUUCGAUGUGUUGAUGUACGAUCAUCUUCUCCUUCGCUCUCUCUUUCCUCCUCAUUCCUCGGUGGUGCUUGAAAUUCCAGCCUCUCCAAUCGUUCUGUUACAUUUUCCAUAACAGCUCCAAACCUUGCAAAUUGUUGUUGCAUGGCUUGCAAUGUAAAUUCAAUAGGAUUUGUGUUUUCCAUGACCUCACAAUUCACUCGUGUAUCACACAAAUAUAUCCUCACACAAACACUCGUGUAUCACUCGUAGGCUUUUACCACCCCUCAAAUAAACUCACCACUCAAUGCCUUUUACCACUCAAUUCUCGUUUGUAAGAAUUUCAAAUGAACUAAAACAAAUCAAGAAAGAACAAGACAAGUAAAAUUCACCAAACUUCAGCCCUUGGAUGCAAGAAUUGAUAUUUUGGAACAAGUGUAUGAAACUCCUAAGGAAAAUUGAAGUGAAAUAGAAAUUUUGGAUUUUUUUUUUUGGGAUAUAUAUAUUUUUUUUNCGUUUUUUUUUUAGUUUAUAUGAAGUAACAACAAUGGAAAACAAAAAGAUAUUGGAACUUUGCAGAUUUUUUUUUUUUUUUUGCAACUAUUUUUGUAGGACAAUGAGGAUGAAUAUAAGAGAUAUAUGAAAGGAUGAAGAAAAUAAAAGAUAGAGUUUGGAUCAAUACCAGAUUGCUCUGAUAACCAAAUGAUAUGGAUAGAAGUGGACGAAGGACCCGUUGGAUAUAAUGACCCAAGAACCCGACGUAUGUGAGUAGGCAGCGGACUCCCUAGAUCGAGAAUCUAGUUUGAUCAACCCCUAAGAGCGUAGAAACCUUGACCCGUUGGCUAUAUAAUCAGCCAAGAACCUCG